rnacentral:rRNA from 1 species
GACGAACGCUGGCGGCGUGCUUAACACAUGCAAGUCGAACGAAGUGGCGAACGGGUGAGUAACGCGUAAUCCACCUGCCCUUCAGUGGGGGACCACAGUCGGAAACGACUGCUAAUACCGCCUACUCAAGGUGGGGAUUGCGUCGGAUUCGCUAGUUGGGGGGGUAACGGCCCACCAAGGCGAGGAUCAGUAGCCGGUCUGAGAGGAUGAACGGCCACAUUGGGACUGAGACACGGCCCAGACUCCUACGGGAGGCAGCAGUGGGGAAUAUUGCACAAUGGGCGCAAGCCUGAUGCAGCCAUGCCGCGUGUGUGAAGAAGGCCUUCGGGUUGUAAAGCACUUUCAGCGGGGAGCGCUACCCGCAGAAGAAGCACCGGCUAACUCCGUGCCAGCAGCCGCGGUAAUAC